rnacentral:rRNA from 1 species
UACGUAGGGUGCAAGCGUUAUCCGGAAUUAUUGGGCGUAAAGAGCUCGUAGGCGGUUUGUCACGUCUGCUGUGAAAACUGGAGGCUCAACCUCCAGCCUGACAGGUGGGUACGGGCAGACUAGAGUGCGGUAGGGGAGAUUGGAAUUCCUGGUGUAGCGGUGGAAUGCGCAGAUAUCAGGAGGAACACCGAUGGAGCGAAGGCAGAG